rnacentral:misc_RNA from 1 species
GAUGAAGAACGUAGCGAAAUGCGAUACGUAAUGUGAAUUGCAGAAUUCAGUGAAUCAUCGAAUCUUUGAACGCAUAUUGCGCUCUCUGGUAUUCCGGAGAGCAUGCUUGUUUGAGUAUCAGUAAACACCUCAACUCCCUUUUCUUUUUUGAAAUGGGAGCUGGACUUGAGUGAUCCCAACACUUUUCUCACUGGAAAGUGGCGGGUCACUUGAAAUGCAGGUGCAGCUGGACUUUUCUCUGAGCUAUAAGCAUAUCUAUUUAGUCUGCCUAAAAAACAGAUUAUUACCUUUGCUGCAGCUAACAUAAAGGAGAUGAGUUCUUAUGCUGACUGAUGCAGGAUUCACAGAGACAGCUUUGCGGCUGACUUUGUAAACUCGAUCUCAAAUCAAGUAAGACUACCCGCUGAACUUAAGCAUAUCAAUAAGCGGAGGA